GACAGAGGGGGCAAGCGUUGCUCGGAAUCACUGGGCGUAAAGGGCGCGUAGGCGGGAUGGCAAGUCAGUCGUGAAAUCUCUCGGCUCAACCGAGAAACGUCGGCUGAUACUGCCGUUCUUGAGGGAUGCAGAGGAGACUGGAAUUCCCGGUGUAGCGGUGAAAUGUGUAGAGAUCGGGAGGAACACCGGUGGCGAAGGCGGGUCUCUGGGCCGAUACUGGACGCUGAGGAGCGAAAGCGUGGGGAGCGAACAGG
rnacentral:rRNA from 1 species